rnacentral:rRNA from 1 species
GAUGAACGCUAGCGGCAGGCUUAACACAUGCAAGUCGAGGGGUAUUGGUUUUCGGACCAAGAGACCGGCGCACGGGUGCGUAACGCGUAUGCAAUCUACCUUUUGCAGAGGGAUAGCCCAGAGAAAUUUGGAUUAAUACCUCAUAGUAUAGUACUUUGGCAUCAAGGAACUAUUAAAGUCACAACGGCAAAGAUGAGCAUGCGUCCCAUUAGCUAGUUGGUAAGGUAACGGCUUACCAAGGCUACGAUGGGUAGGGGUCCUGAGAGGGAGAUCCCCCACACUGGUACUGAGACACGGACCAGACUCCUACGGGAGGCAGCAGUGAGGAAUAUUGGACAAUGGGCGCAAGCCUGAUCCAGCCAUGCCGCGUGC